rnacentral:rRNA from 1 species
AAAAAGAACCUGAAACCGUGUACGUACAAGCAGUGGGAGCACCUUCGGGUGUGACUGCGUACCUUUUGUAUAAUGGGUCAGCGACUUAUAUUCUGUAGCAAGGUUAACCGUAUAGGGGAGCCGCAGGGAAACCGAGUCUUAACUGGGCGUUAAGUUGCAGGGUAUAGACCCGAAACCCGGUGAUCUAGCCAUGGGCAGGUUGAAGGUUGGGUAACACUAACUGGAGGACCGAACCGACUAAUGUUGAAAAAUUAGCGGAUGACUUGUGGCUGGGGGUGAAAGGCCAAUCAAACCGGGAGAUAGCUGGUUCUCCCCGAAAGCUAUUUAGGUAGCGCCUCGUGAACUCAUCUUCGGGGGUAGAGCACUGUUUCGGCUAGGGGGUCAUCCCGACUUACCAACCCGAUGCAAACUACGAAUACCGAAGAAUGUUAUCACGGGAGACACACGGCGGGUGCUAACGUCCGUCGUGAAGAGGGAAACAACCCAGACCGCCAGCUAAGGUCCCAAAGUCAUGGUUAAGUGGGAAACGAUGUGGGAAGGCACAGACAGCCAGGAUGUUGGCUUAGAAGCAGCCAUCAUUUAAAGAAAGCGUAAUAGCUCACUGGUCGAGUCGGCCUGCGCGGAAGAUGUAACGGGGCUAAACCAUGCACCGAAGCUGCGGCAGCGACACUAUGUGUUGUUGGGUAGGGGAGCGUUCUGUAAGCCUGCGAAGGUGACCUGUGAGGGUUGCUGGAGGUAUCAGAAGUGCGAAUGCUGACAUAAGUAACGAUAAAGCGGGUGAAAAGCCCGCUCGCCGGAAGACCAAGGGUUCCUGUCCAACGUUAAUCGGGGCAGGGUGAGUCGACCCCUAAGGCGAGGCCGAAAGGCGUAGUCGAUGGGAAACAGGUUAAUAUUCCUGUACUUGGUGUUACUGCGAAGGGGGGACGGAGAAGGCUAUGUUAGCCGGGCGACGGUUGUCCCGGUUUAAGCAUGUAGGCUG